rnacentral:tRNA from 1 species
CAUUAGGUGCCUGAAAGCAAGUAAUGGUCUCUUAAACCAGCAAAUGAUAGCCUAGCAAAUAUCCCUAAUGA